UAAUUCACUUUUCUUGUAUAUGGGUUACAAUUUGGCAAAAAUAUGUGAGCAGUAUCUGAUGCAAGGCAGAAGCCAACUAGGCUCUCUCAUUCACACAUCCACAGUUGGCCAACUGACAGUCACUGUCUUAACAAAAUGUUUAUAGACAGCAAUCAUUCAAGGAAUCAAGGCUGGAUCUAUAGAAUUCUAAGUGAGGUACAAGCUCUAACUACUGCCUUACUAAUACUACUACUGUUACACACACCCACACACAACCCCUGUAAUGGACUGGUGCCCAGUCUAGGGUUGGUUCUGGCCUUGAGCCCUAUGAAAUAAAGGCGAUCCUAGGAGUGAAUAAGCAUUCAAUUCGGUUUAAUUUUGUAUAGCACUCUACACUGAGUGCAGACUCAUAACACUGUUACAAAUUCAGUUUAAUGCAAUUCCAAACUUUCUAAAAUACUAAUUACUUAAUGAAUACACAUAAAAACACAGAUUUGUUUAAACACACUGG